CCUACGGGAGGCAGCAGUGGGGAAUUUUCCGCAAUGGGCGAAAGCCUGACGGAGCAAUACCGCGUGAGGGAAGACUGCCUAUGGGUUGUAAACCUCUUUUUUCAGGGAGGAAUAAAAUGACGUGUACCUGAAGAAUAAGCAUCGGCUAACUCCGUGCCAGCAGCCGCGGUAAGACGGAGGAUGCAAGUGUUAUCCGGAAUCACUGGGCGUAAAGCGUCUGUAGGUGGUUUAAUAAGUCAACUGUUAAAUCUUGAGGCUCAACUUCAAAAUCGCAGUCGAAACUAUUAGACUAGAGUAUAGUAGAGGUAAAGGGAAUUUCCAGUGGAGCGGUGAAAUGCGUAGAUAUUGGAAAGAACACCGAUGGCGAAAGCACUUUACUGGGCUAUUACUAACACUCAGAGACGAAAGCUAGGGUAGCAAAUGGGAUUAGAUACCCCAGUAGUCCUAGCCGUAAACUAUGGAU
rnacentral:rRNA from 1 species